AAAAAUUUAGUUAAUUUUAUAACAUUAAUAUGUCAUAUUGAAAUAAUUUAUAAUUAAAUAGUUUUUA
rnacentral:tRNA from 1 species